GUACACGCUGUGACUAGCAUAUCAAUAAGCGGAGGAAAAGAAACUAACAAGGAUUCCCCUAGUAACGGCGAGUGAAGCGGGAAGAGCUCAAAUUUGAAAUCUUAAAGGGUUUCCCUUUACGAAUUGUAGUUUAAAGAAGUGUUUUCUGUUGAGGUUUUGGUAAAAGUUCUUUGGAAUAGGACAUCAUAGAGGGUGAGAAUCCCGUAUUUGACCUUUACUUUCAACUUUGUGAUACACUUUCAAAGAGUCGGAUUGUUUGGGAAUGCAGUCCAAAAUGGGUGGUAAAUUUCAUCUAAAGCUAAAUAUUGGCGAGAGACCGAUAGCGAACAAGUACCGUGAGGGAAAGAUGAAAAGAACUUUGAAAAGAGAGUUAAACAGUACGUGAAAUUGUCAAAAGGGAAGCGUUUGACACCAGUGUUGUUUUUCUGAAAAUCAAUUAAAGAACUGUUUAUGCUAAGUUGUUUAGACUUUAUCAGCUAACUGUUUAGUCUUGAGCUUUUCUUUAAUGCACUUUUCAGUUAACAAGUCAACAUCAAUUUCCUUUUGCUGUAAAAAAGCUUGAGGAAGGUGGCUUGAGAUUCGUCUUAAGUGUUUAUAGCCUCUUGCCUAUGCAGUCGGAGAGAUUGAGGUCUGCAGCGUAGAUCCUUCGGGGCUAAAUGCAUUUGUGCUAAGUUAUAACAUUUUAUAGACAACUUGUUGACUAUGAUUUGUCUUGUAGCUUACUCGCUUAUGUUAUUUUACCUACGCUUAGGAUGUUGACAGCAGUAUAGACUGU
rnacentral:rRNA from 1 species